rnacentral:rRNA from 1 species
AAUCAACGCUGGCGGCGUGCCUAACACAUGCAAGUCGAACGCGAAAGCCCCGCAAGGGGUUAGUAGAGUGGCAAACGGGUGAGUAACACGUGGGUGACCUGCCUUCGAGUGGGGGAUAACGUCCCGAAAGGGACGCUAAUACCGCAUGACAUCCUGCCUUUGGAAAGGCGGAGAUCAAAGCUGGGGAUCGCAAGACCUGGCGCUUGAAGAGGGGCCCGCGCCUGAUUAGCUAGUUGGUAGGGUAACGGCCUACCAAGGCAACGAUCAGUAUCCGGCCUGAGAGGCGGACGGACACACUGGGACUGAGACACGGCCCAGACUCCUACGGGAGGCAGCAGUGGGGAAUUGUUCGCAAUGGGCGCAAGCCUGACGACGCAACGCCGCGU